UAUGGAUUUCAUCACUUCAAAAUUUUGACAAAAUAAAAAAAAAAAAUCUGUAAUCAUUCAUCAACUUUAAUCUGGUGAAGAGAUUCACCGAUUUGGGAAUAUCCAACAUUAAUUUUGACCAUCUCCAUUGGUCCCCAGCAACCAAGUUCUGGCAAACGGUGCGUUUAAGGAUGUGACAACGAAGUGUCAGUAUGCAGCCUGAAGAAAAGGGUAGACUAGAAAUGAGGGUAGAUGUCGAAAUUGUCAAAACUUGUGAUAUACUCGGAAGCUUCAAGCCUUCAACAGUUCAACCCCAACUCUGUCAAUGAAUUCUAAGGAUCUUGUGCCUUGGACAGUGUAUUGCUGACGCGUCGCGAACAUAGGCCAUUGUCAUCAGCAGGGAUUCCCUUCUCUAAAUCAGUGUCAAGAGCUACUGCUAUGCCUUGAACACCUCCAAAUCUAUGCAGUGCAGCAAAGUCCCUGGCCUUUACAAUCUGAGCAAUAUUUGCAUGUUGGAGUCUCACAUUGUUGACAAUUGGAUCAUUAUGAAGCAAGUCAUCGGAAACUCGAGGUGAUGUGGUCAAGUCCUCAACAAUUUCUGUUAUUUCCGAAUGCUACAAAAAUUAAAUACUUAAUAAGUUAGUUCAUAAGCUAUUUCAAACAUAUGAUGUGACUGCAGCAUUUCAAUCUACUAGGAGAUUUGAAGUAUACUAAUAGAAUCAAAGGUUCAGUCA